UACGUAGGGUGCGAGCGUUAAUCGGAAUUACUGGGCGUAAAGCGUGCGCAGGCGGUUCGUUAAGUCAGCUGUGAAAGCCCCGGGCUCAACCUGGGAACUGCGGUUGAAACUGGCGAACUAGAAUCUGGCAGAGGGGGGUGGAAUUCCACGUGUAGCAGUGAAAUGCGUAGAGAUGUGGAGGAAUACCGAUGGCGAAGGCAGCCCCCUGGGCCAAUACUGACGCUCAUGCACGAAAGCGUGGGGAGCAAACAGG
rnacentral:rRNA from 1 species